UAUUGGUUCUGCUCCUAAACAAUUAC
rnacentral:piRNA from 1 species